GCUAAUCUGCGAUAAGCGCCGGUAAGGUGAUAUGAACCGUUAUAACCGGCGAUACCCGAAUGGGGAAACCCAGUGUGACUCGUCACACUAUCAUUAACUGAAUCCAUAGGUUAAUGAGGCGAACCGGGGGAACUGAAACAUCUAAGUACCCCGAGGAAAAGAAAUCAACCGAGAUUCCCCCAGUAGCGGCGAGCGAACGGGGAGGAGCCCAGAGCCUGAAUCAGCAUGUGUGUUAGUGGAAGCGUCUGGAAAGGCGCGCGAUACAGGGUGACAGCCCCGUACACAAAAGCGCAUGUGCUGUGAGCUCGAUGAGUAGGGCGGGACACGUGGUAUCCUGUCUGAAUAUGGGGGGACCAUCCUCCAAGGCUAAAUACUCCUGACUGACCGAUAGUGAACCAGUACCGUGAGGGAAAGGCGAAAAGAACCCCGGCGAGGGGAGUGAAAAAGAACCUGAAACCGUGUACGUACAAGCAGUGGGAGCACAGGUUUACCUGUGUGACUGCGUACCUUUUGUAUAAUGGGUCAGCGACUUAUAUUCUGUAGCAAGGUUAACCGUAUAGGGGAGCCGGAGGGAAACCGAGUCUUAAC
rnacentral:rRNA from 1 species